rnacentral:rRNA from 1 species
UACGGAGGGUGCGAGCGUUAAUCGGAAUUACUGGGCGUAAAGCGUGCGCAGGCGGUUAUGUAAGACAGAGGUGAAAUCCCCGGGCUCAACCUGGGAACUGCCUUUGUGACUGCAUGACUAGGGUACGGCAGAGGGGGAUGGAAUUCCGCGUGUAGCAGUGAAAUGCGUAGAUAUGCGGAGGAACACCGAUGGCGAAGGCAAUCCCCUGGGCCUGUACUGACGCUCAUGCAAGAAAGCGUGGGGAGCAAACAGG